rnacentral:misc_RNA from 1 species
AAAACAUACAAGCUCUAUGACUCUGACCUGAGAAAUGAAUGAUUUCAUUUUUCUUUUUUCGAAAGGUAGUUCAUUGAUCAGAAACAGAUUACAGGCCCAGGCUUGCUAAAAGACAAUUUGGGCCAUAGGCCUCCUAUGUCAGUCAAGGAACUUAAGGCAAGCCCAUCCGAUCCUGCAACGACCUCGUUGCAGUCCGGCCACCCUGCCUACACCUCUGUGCACUUGGCGUGAGUCGAUCAAGAUGGGUCGGCUCUGAUACCAAAUGUCACGGGUGUCUCACAUGGGUAGAUAUUGUCCGCUUUAGACCUCGGCCCGCACGGUUUUGUUCCUGGGCCAAGCCUCUGUCCAACCCAAAAUGCGUCUACUCAAACAAGGCCACCCCCUUCAUAUUAGCCCAGAAACUCUCCCAUACUUGGCCGAUGUGGGAUUGAGGUUGGCCACUGUAGGAGAGGUUGGCUCAAAGACCCCAUAGUCAUCCACCAAACACAGAUGAAGGACCCGUCAACAGAGCCUAGCGGGACUGCGGCCAUCACACCAUAGCAUAAAUCUCAACAAGCUCUCCUCUGGAAGCAAAAGCAAGGCACAUCGAGGAGAAACUCUCACCGAGAAGCAUUGGAUUUCGCAACAAAAACACUCAAAAACUUUAUUCACAAUCCUACCUGGAGUGAGGUGGAAGAAACCCACUUCCCAGGCGAGGAAAGAAGACCUCCUGCCCGGAUGGGACAGGGAAUGGCAAGAUGAGGCUGAACCUCAGAAGAAGACGGACUAAAUUUGAUAGAAAACUCUCUCUCUAAAGCUAGAGAGAGAGGUCGAGCCUCAGAAGUUAAUGAGUUGUCAGUUUGAUUUCAAAUUUUCAAUCAACAUAAUGACACUGUAGGAAAGAAAGCACAAGCAGCUUCUGAAAACAACUGUACAACAAACAGAGGCGUGAGAACAUUGCCAGGGUUGAUGCUGAAAGUGCUACUUUCAUUUGCGCCAUUGCUGUUUUACAAAUAUAUUUAAAAGUUCCAUAGAAACCAAUGCAAGAAGGUAAGUAGGGAAGCCUAAAGGUCCAAAGGUUUUGUACAUUCCAAACAAAGAUAACAAGAAUGUUCAUUGUAACAAAAAUAAGGUAAGGUGUGGAUAUAUUAGUGUCUAGCGAUACCGUAAACUUCAUGCUCCCAAAAAGCUACAGGAGGUGAAGAUAGCACCUUUUUCAAUGCAUAAAACUUCAUUAUCAUUUCAGCCAAAAGCACCAGUUCUGCUAUCAAGCUAAAACAGAACAGGGGUGGUAACAACACUAGUAGCCAACAUAUACUGCAGCAUUCGCUAUGUAACAAUCUUCAUUCUUGUCUCCCAUUUCCUCAACACACACACACCGCUUGAGCAUAUUAGUCCACGAUCCACAACUUCAACAUUUAGAAUAUUUCCACUGCAUGUUAAAGGAGCGAAAAGCCAUAUUUGUAAAGUUUACGCAGGUUGAGCCCCAAAAUAAGAAGAAUGAUAACAAUGAACAUCACAAAAUAGUGAGGAAUUGUGUUUCAAACAUUGUAGAUACUCCUCACUGCAUAUUGACUCUUCCUUUAAACAGCUAAAAUGGUUAACUUAAUUUCUUAUCACAAUGUCUACAAGGCUACAAGCUAGAACAUUUUUUAUCCUGAAAAAUAAAUGAAUGCCAUUCCAGAGAGAGGAAAACAGGAACAAAGCUAAAAACCAUGAGACAACAACAUAAAUUUAUCCAUCCAAUUAGGUUUGAUACUUGCUAAGGAAAGACGGACUUCACCCUUUCAAUAUCCAAUGAUUGCUGGAGAGAAUGUGGAACUCCCAGUUUGAUUUGUAGUUUCAUUUGGUCAAAUGUGACACCAGGUAUGGAACCUCUGCGAAAUGCAGGAAUCGAAUUGGAAGAGAUGGCAUCCCUGCAUGCUCGCAUUGCUGCAGCUGUAAUAUCUUGGCUGAAGCAUACAAUACCACCACAUUAAAGAAUGAACUCAACUACUCAUAAUUGAAGCAAUUCGAGGAACCAGCAAAAAGAAAUCAUUGAUGGGUAUCUAUCCGAGAUGGAAAAAAAAAUGGAGUUUAAAAGAAAGGAGCAGAUAACAACACACCCAUGUUGAUCAUAGCCAACACCCAUCUCCACAAACAAGAGCUUCAUUGGUGCGUUUGAGCUGCCAGCUUUAAAGACUGCAGUUCCACUUUGCUGGACCUCCAUGGCCCUUGUUGUGUUUUUCCACAGGCGUGAAAAUCGAGGAACUUGCAGAGAGGAUUUGUUUGCUAGAGAAAGAAAUGGUGUUGGUGAAUUUGAUGGGUAAAUCUUAGAAACCUGCAGACUCUCAGAUUGAUACUCUGUGAAGCGAGAGGAAAGUGGCAAUUUUAGGAUUGGGCAGCAAACAGUCAUCUCCUCCGUCAAGACAACUCGAUAAGUUAGAACUUAGCACAGCACCGCCAGAUUAUACAUUGCAUUCAGCACCUCCA